rnacentral:rRNA from 1 species
CCUACGGGAGGCAGCAGUGGGGAAUAUUGGACAAUGGGGGCAACCCUGAUCCAGCCAUGCCGCGUGUGUGAAGAAGGCCCUCGGGUUGUAAAGCACUUUCAGUGAGGAAGAACGCCUGGUGGUUAAUACCCAUCAGGAAAGACAUCACUCACAGAAGAAGCACCGGCUAACUCCGUGCCAGCAGCCGCGGUAAUACGGAGGGUGCGAGCGUUAAUCGGAAUUACUGGGCGUAAAGCGCGCGUAGGUGGCUUGAUAAGCCGGUUGUGAAAGCCCCGGGCUCAACCUGGGAACGGCAUCCGGAACUGUCAAGCUAGAGUGCAGGAGAGGAAGGUAGAAUUCCCGGUGUAGCGGUGAAAUGCGUAGAGAUCGGGAGGAAUACCAGUGGCGAAGGCGGCCUUCUGGACUGACACUGACACUGAGGUGCGAAAGCGUGGGUAGCAAACAGGAUUAGCUACCCUGGUAGUC